GCAGUGUCCCGGCUUUGUCGCUGGCACAUAUGUUUGUGCGAGAGGAAAGUCCGGGCAGCGCAGGGAGCUCCACUUCCGAAAAUAGAAGCUAUUGGUGACAGUAGGCUCAGGCAGAAGAGAACGACCGCCGGACAUGUGCCGGUAAGGGUGAGAAGGUGGUGUAAGAGACCACCAGCCGAUGGGUGACCAUUCGGGCUGUGCCGGCUGGAGGCUGCAAGUUCGUGUAAACCAUCGUUUGAGGGUGCCCGCCCGACUCUGCAGAGACGAUGGAGGGUAGAACGCUUAAGUUGCAGGGUGACUUGCAAAUUAGAUAGAUGACAGAGCACCGCAUGGCUUGCCUUGCGGGACAGAACCCGGCUUAUAGGGGCGCUGCCUUG
rnacentral:RNase_P_RNA from 1 species